UUUAAUAUACAAAUUGGGAAGAGUAAGUUUAAGUGAUUUUCAAAGAGAGCAUAUGAUUGGUGAAAGUAUGUAGAUGAUUUAAACUGAAGGUAGCCCACUCGUUAUCUUAGUUGAAAAAUAUGCAGUAGGCUAAGACGUGUUUGAGCGUUAAUCAUUAUCUAGAGUGCUUGAAGAAUUUGACUAAUAACAUUGUGAUUGUUGUUGGAAAUUCUUCUUGAAUAUAGGUGGUACCACGGAAUAUCCGUCCUAUUU
rnacentral:ncRNA from 1 species